ensembl:lncRNA
UGCUUUGCUGUCGUUCUCAGUGCUUGUUUUUGCUCAGGAGGGCAGGUGGUGAAGCUCAUGAAGCAAUGCCUGCAGAUGGGGUUUGCAGAGCAAGAGGUCCUGCAGGCCUUGUGUGACAGCCAUGGAGCUGUAGCGAGGCUGCGUCAGUGUAAAACAGCAGAAAUGCACGGAGGUGUGAAGGUGAGCGGUGGGCUCCAGUAGUGCAGGAGGGGACGUACGUGCUCAGGGUUUGGCUGCUUCUGCGUGUUUUAAGUGAGUGUGAUAGCACUGCUUGGUCCGUUUGAGUGUAUGGAACAAGUGUGACAUCCUUUGUGCUGGAGUCAUGUGGAAGGAGUCCUAUGUGUUUGCGACCUGACUUGAAGCCUGUGGGCAUCACGGAGGAGUAGGGGAAGGGGAUGAGGGGAGGCAAGCGGGGGUAAGAGGAUGAGGCAUAGGAACAGGAACCUGUUUGGCCGAUCUGAAGUGCUGCCGUUCUCUUUUUGGUUUAGGAAUCUCUGUGUGUUUUUUAAUGAAGAACAACCUCAUUGUUCAUCUUGUGAGCGAAUUCAUUCAGGCCUCUUAGUUGGUGUUGUUCUCUCCAUGGAGCUGCAAGUGAAAUGGCUACUUCUGGUGUGAUGUGUGGCCCCCUCCCGCCUUCUCAGAUCAACCAAGUUGGCAAGGCCUGGCUCUUGGUUGGUGAGCUAUGCCCAAGGUGAGGGAGGUGUCUCUUCUGGGCUUGACGUGCGGCAAUCAGACCGUAUAGCCGGUAAGGAUAUAGAGCAGGCAUGUGUUUCUUGGUGACGCGCGUAGUCCCUGGUGCAAGGGGGAUCGCUCCACCUAACUUGCACACUGUCAGGAGAAAUGGUGCUAUAGAUGUAUGUAGGUCGAACUAAUAGCUAAUCAGUAGUUGACAGGAAUUCGGAGACCUAUUCAUUACAUUCCAGAGAGCCCAUUAGCAUGCAGUCCCUUCCCCUUUUGCGAGUGCGUAGAAGGUCGUGAUGAUGAAGGCUUGUAGUCUUCCUCGCGAAGGCUCGUAGUCUUCCUCAUUGCACACUUGUGACCCCGAAGGGGGGGCAUCCCACAAAAAGGUUUCAGCUUGCCCUGUAGACAUCUAAUCAGCUCCCUGCCACGUGUUUUCGAGCUGCUCUCCAGCCCUUAUCUCGAUGGCCUUCAUCCUCCCUGUUAUUCCUGACCUAGUGUCUGUGAAAGUGCUUGGAAUCCCUUGUUUUCUAGCACUCUCUACGUAAACUCUCUCUAUUUGCCUCUUAUUUCUAUUUGUGCAGCUACUUUCCCUUUUCUUGCUGUGAGGCCCUUCUCUCUCUAACUGCAGGCUCCUGUUCUCACACUUCAGUUCCCCCCUUUUCUAUAGUCUAGCAGGGCUUCUACCUGCUAGAUCAUUUUGAUUCUGUUCUACGUGUCCCCAAAUAGGCCCCACUUCCCACCUUUGGCCUCAACACAUGUCUCUUCCAUAUCUCCUUUUUCUUUCUAGUACUCCGGCACAGGCAGGCAGAGCAUCUCAUCAUGACACAGGUAAAACCUCCCAACAGCACCAAGAGGAUGCAAACUAGGAAGAGCUGCUUUAACCAUCCUAGAUUCAGUAGCCAGCUAGUAAGCAAGUUCCCUAAAUCUCCUUCCCAGCUGGGGUCUUCAGGCAGGUAUGAUGUAUCCACGGUGUAAGCUCCUCUACCUUGGCCGUGGUGUGGGUGGUGAGGAGAAGUUGGCAGGUAUGAUGUAUCCACGGUGUAAGCUCCUCUACCUUGGCCGUGGUGUGGGUGGUCAGGAGAAGUUGGUAGGGUCCUUCCCACUUUGGUUCCAGCGGUACAUCUGAGGGAGAUUGAACGUAAACACGGUCGCCUGGCAAUACAUGGUGCACUGGAGCGUCUAGGCCUUGUGCCCUGGCAUCGAAUCCUGUUUGUUCAAUUUUCUUUAACUGCGUCACCAAGCUGACCAUCUCUUAACACCUCCUCCCCCACCUGCGUAGAGAUUUCCUUUUGUACAGGAUAAGGUUGCCCAUAUAGAAUCUCCUCUGGGCUUCAUCCUUCCUUGCUUCGGGGUUUAGUCCGAAUUCUCAGAAGUGCCAAAG